rnacentral:rRNA from 1 species
AGUCGAGGGGCAGCAUGGUCUUAGCUUGCUAAGGCCGAUGGCGACCGGCGCACGGGUGAGUAACACGUAUCCAACCUGCCGUCUACUCUUGGACAGCCUUCUGAAAGGAAGAUUAAUACAAGAUGGCAUCAUGAGUCCGCAUGUUCACAUGAUUAAAGGUAUUCCGGUAGACGAUGGGGAUGCGUCCCAUUAGAUAGUAGGCGGGGUAACGGCCCACCUAGUCUUCGAUGGAUAGGGGUUCUGAGAGGAAGGUCCCCCACAUUGGAACUGAGACACGGUCCAAACUCCUACGGGAGGCAGCAGUGAGGAAUAUUGGUCAAUGGGCGAGAGCCUGAACCAGCCAAGUAGCGUGAAGGAUGACUGCCCUAUGGGUUGUAAACUUCUUUUAUAAAGGAAUAAAGUCGGGUAUGGAUACCCGUUUGCAUGUACUUUAUGAAUAAGGAUCGGCUAACUCCGUGCCAGCAGCCGCGGUAAUACGGAGGAUCCGAGCGUUAUCCGGAUUUAUUGGGUUUAAAGGGAGCGUAGAUGGAUGUUUAAGUCAGUUGUGAAAGUUUGCGGCUCAACCGUAAAAUUGCAGUUGAUACUGGAUAUCUUGAGUGCAGUUGAGGCAGGCGGAAUUCGUGGUGUAGCGGUGAAAUGCUUAGAUAUCACGAAGAACUCCGAUUGCGAAGGCAGCCUGCUAAGCUGCAACUGACAUUGAGGCUCGAA